UUUCAUCCAAAAAUCGAUUAAUUGAGUGGAAAACUAAUAUUUUAUUUGAAAUCAGCUUCUCAUUUUUGUUGUAAUAGAUUGAGUUUUAUUGAAUUCCAAGUCAAAAUUCUAAGCCGAAUUUUUAUACAAUAAGUCGGUCUUAAAAUGUCGGGCUUAAUUAAUAAAGUAAAACUAGAUAUCUUAUCAAUAGAUGGCUACACUGUUUAGUGGAUCGUCUGCAGUAGAAAUUCAUGGUUCAUCAGAUGUGGCCUAGUUGUUAGGGAUCCGAAAUGUGUUCAGGGGGGUGAAGACGUCAUUUGAACGUGCAGUUCCUAUCCGCAGCCCCCACUCCUACAGUGUGCAAAAAUAGACAGUUGAAAAAAUCUGUUCAUUGUGCUAAUCUGCACAAUGCCGGCUUCGACUAAGCAAUCUUGAAAUGACCUAUCAACGGACUACUCAGUAUUAAAAUACUCUUCCCUUAAGGAAAUUUGCAGCUGUGGACUUUUUAGAUGACUUGUAUCGGAAAUAUUUUCCUGCUUCUUGGAACAAGGAACAUAGGAUGUCUUGAUGCCAACCAAGUGUCAUUGAUUGUAAAAAGUUGUUAAGCAGGAGAAACCUAAAGUUGGAGAAUGAUACAUUUGUUUCCUGUUACUAGUUUUGUAAAACAAAUGUGGGAAUUGAUUCAAAAUCUCAGCUUCCCCGGUAGACACCCAUCCACAAAGCCAUGGGUGAUAGAUGAUAUUCACAGCAGGCAUGACUGCGUUGUAAAUUGGUAUAAAUUUUACAAAGUCAAAUCAGACAGCAGAUUAAGAUCAUGUGUCUACUGUGAAAGAGAUCAUGUGUCUCAACGCAAAUGGCUCUCUCUGUUUGCGACAUCAGACCUCCCAGUGUGUCAUUCUGAUGCAGAGCUCUUGAAAUCAAGUUGAACGUUUUGAAACAUCUCGGGCCAAAGCUGAAGUUUUAGGUCUUUCGGUUUUUUCUGCUUGUAAAACCCUUGAUUAAAACUAAUUGAAGUGCAAUUUAUUGUCUUGUUUGCAGAGGUAUUAGAAAAGUCGUCGCUUUUUGGUUAGUUUCUUCGGACGAAUUUCAGUAGUUGUUGGUUGUAGGAAACAUCCAAAAUAACAUAGACCACGAUGGCAACUCAGGCUAACAAGACAUUCUUUGAGUCGAUCGAAGAACAGAUCAUCGCAGUUCCUCAGUCUAAAUUAUGGUCCUCUUACAUGAUAAAGGAUGACCAACAACUACUGAAAUUCGUCAGAACACUUAAUGACAAUCUGCUUUGGUUAUGCUGCGUAAAUCCGAACAUACCAUUCCCCCCUUUCCCGUCUUUUCAGUACAUGAUCGAAGAAGAACCCGUAUCAUUAGCUGCUUCCUACAUCAGAGCAGAAAUAGAAUACAAUA